UGUGUGACUUCCAGAUUCUUGCAAAGAAACGAGGCAUCAAGCCAGAAGCUCAGUUAGUUAAUUUUACAGCAUCAUCGUUGGGAUUUUUGUUUUUUUUAAAGGACAAGACUGUGUAUUGUAUGUCUCAUUGUUUUAAGAGCUUUCUCUGACACUGAGGCUAAGCAUUGCCUGCCCUCAUGGGGAGUUUAAGUCAGACGACUUUGAAACCAACAGAUAAAAGAAAACCCAGACAACAGAGCCUGUGUUGAAAGAGGACACAGAUAACUACGGCAGGGAUACAAAAAUCUUCGAGGGUGACAAGUAUUGAAUUCCACUAAAGGUAUAGUUCAGAUCUUUCUUCCUGCCUAGCAUUCAGUAUUUCCAAUAAUUUGAACCAACAGAGAUGCUAGUAACAUUUUUGUGGACGUCCUUGACUGAUUUUCAUUUGCCCCAGAAAUGUAACAUUCCAUGUUAAAAAGGUGGAAAUCCAAAGAAUGCUUACCUUUAUUCCCUAACAUUGCCUAGCUACAUCAUACUACCAGUCAGUGCUGUGUGUUUCCUACCUAACAUGCCCAAAUCAAAACCAAAUGAAAUGUCUUCAUGAGAAUCUUCUUAUAAUUGUGGAAAUAAAAAGUAUAUUUCUCUAAUUCCAGCUUCUGUUAGUGAUGGACUAGCUCGAUCAUUCACAGGUAAUAAUGAUGAAAUCUGGAGCAUUUGGAAGUAUUAGAGAAUAAACAGAAGCAGGCGGAAACUGAAUAAAUCUAACCUUAAAAGACAA